AUUUGCCAUUUGUGCUUAAACAGACAGUCCAGGCACAUUGGAAAUCUUGUACGGGUUCUCCGAGUCAGUUGUAGAAGUGAUUAUGUCCUACAUACUCAGACUGAUGCCAUUGAUGUCAGAAGAGAGUGCAUCAUCAAAGCCCUGUGUGUGUACCUGAAUGAAGAGCCCAAGAACCUUGUGAAAGAAUACAUGAACACAGAUGGUCAAAGCAUUGAAGCUGCAAUCACGGAGACUACAUUUGGAAUCUUUGUCAUUCGCAAGGAAGGCGAGGAGCCAGAUGUUGGACCGGAAGAUCUGCACCAGAGGGAGAGGAGAUGCUGACAGAUCACAGAU